CUGGCCCUACGGGGGGCAGCAGUGGGGAAUAUUGCACAAUGGGGGAAACCCUGAUGCAGCGACGCCGCGUGAGCGAAGAAGUAUUUCGGUAUGUAAAGCUCUAUCAGCAGGGAAGAAAAUGACGGUACCUGAGUAAGAAGCCCCGGCUAACUACGUGCCAGCAGCCGCGGUAAUACGUAGGGGGCAAGCGUUAUCCGGAUUUACUGGGUGUAAAGGGAGCGUAGACGGCGAUACAAGUCUGAAGUGAAAGCCCGGGGCUCAACCCCGGGACUGCUUUGGAAACUGUGUUGCUGGAGUGCUGGAGA
rnacentral:rRNA from 1 species